AGUUUGUUGUGGGACAAAAAUAAAUGGCCAUCUUCAACAUUUUCUGAGAUUUCUAAUUUGUCUUUUUCUACUUGUGCAGAUGGAGUCAUGAAAUGUGACGGGACAGCCACCGAGGACUUCAUACUUCGGAGCAUCUCAAACAUGCACCACAAAGACGUGGAGGACACACCGCUGUCUCUCAGGACCUAGAAUCUUAAUGAAAGUAUAAUGAUGUUAAGGGAAGGUGUAAUGGAAAGGUGUAAUGUAAAGUUGUAAUGGUGUUAAGGGAAGGUGUAAUGUAAAGGUGUAAUAGUGUUAAGGGAAGGUAUAAUAUUGUUAAGGGAAGGUGUAAUGUUAAAGGUGUAAUAGUGUUGAGGGAAGGUAUAAUAUUGUUAAGGGAAGGUGUAAUGUUAAAGGUGUAAUAGUUUUGAGGGAAGGUGUAAUAGUGUUGAGGGAAGGUGUAAUGUUAAAGGUGUAAUAGUGUUAAGGGAAGGUAUAAUAUUGUUAAGGGAAGGUGUAAUGUAAAGCUGUAAUAGUUUUAAGGGAAGGUAAAUGUUUAGUGAAAUUGUUAUGGUGUGAAUCUAAGGUGUAUGUUAUGUUGAUGUAAAAUAAAGGCAUUAACCCCAAAUGA